rnacentral:rRNA from 1 species
AGAGUUUGAUCCUGGCUCAGGAUGAACGCUAGCGGCAGGCCUAAUACAUGCAAGUCGAACGGUAAAUAGAUCAGCAAUGGUCUAUGAGAGUGACGCACGGGUGCGUAACACGUAUGCAACCUACCCUUUACAGGAGUAUAGCUCGGGGAAACUCGAAUUAACACUUCAUAGUAUAAUUGAAUGGCAUCAUUUGAUUAUUAAAUCUGCGGAGGUAAAGGAUGGGCAUGCGUCUGAUUAGCUAGUUGGUAGUGUAAUGGACUACCAAGGCGAUGAUCAGUAGGGGGACUGAGAGGUUGAUCCCCCACACUGGCACUGAGAUACGGGCCAGACUCCUACGGGAGGCAGCAGUAGGGAAUAUUGGUCAAUGGGUGAGAGCCUGAACCAGCCAUGCCGCGUGCAGGAAGACGGCCUUCUGGGUUGUAAACUGCUUUUGUCAGGGGAUAAAAUUUCCUUGCGAGGAAAAUUGAAGGUACCUGGCGAAUAAGCCACGGCUAACUACGUGCCAGCAGCCGCGGUAAUACGUAGGUGGCAAGCGUUGUCCGGAUUUAUUGGGUUUAAAGGGUGCGUAGGCGGCCUAUUAAGUCAGUGCUGAAAUAUUCCGGCUUAACCGGGAGGGUGGCAUUGAUACUGAUGGGCUAGAGUACAGAUGAGGUAGGCGGAAUUGACGGUAGCGGUGAAAUGCUUAGAUAUCGUCAAGAACACCUAUAGCGAAGGCAGCUUACUAGGCUGUAACUGACGCUGAGGCACGAAAGUGUGGGGAUCAAACAGGAUUAGAUACCCUAGUAGUCC